rnacentral:lncRNA from 13 species
CCCCAGGGGCCAAGGAAACUCACACUGUUGUCUUGGCUCUGCUAUCAGCCUGCUGGGGGACUUAAGGGCAGGUGCUUCAGUUUCCUCAUCUGUCACAGGGCAUGCAGAUGCCAACUCUGUCUCCCUCACAGGUCCCUGUGUGUAACUGGACAAGGGGUGAGGUUGCUCGUUACAUGGCAGAGACAGGGAAUACAAGGCCUCUUCCUGGUGGGACUGGAGAGGCAGGUGGGAAAGAGAGAGCUUACAGAUGAAGCCCCUCCUCAAAGACUUUGUGAAGGGCUUUUCCUGCCUCCGCACCUGCUGCUCUGCUCUGAAGUCUGAGGCCUUGCUGCUGACGCUCCACCGCUUUGCUGAAGCCUCCCCGGUCCGCAGCUCCUGUGGCUCUAAGGAAAGAGAAGCCUCCACACUUGGCACCUGUGGGAACCCAACCCUGGCUGCCCACCCCAGCAGGUGAGUGCCACACAGUUCAGUCCCUGGCUUCCACUCC